UACAGAGGUCUCAAGCGUUAUUCGGAAUUAUUGGGCGUAAAGGGCGCGUAGGCGGCCAUUCAAGUGACGGGUGAAAGCCCUCGGCUUAACCGAGGAACUGCCUGUCAGACUGGAUGGCUUGAGACCGGGAGAGGUGAGUGGAAUUCCCAGUGUAGCGGUGAAAUGCGUAGAUAUCUGGAGGAACACCGGUGGCGAAGGCGGCAUCCUGGACCGGGAUUGACACUGAGGCGCGAAAGCCAGGGGAGCAAACGGG
rnacentral:rRNA from 1 species